rnacentral:rRNA from 1 species
UGGGGAAUCUUGGACAAUGGGGGCAACCCUGAUCCAGCGACGCCGCGUGGGUGAUGAAGGCCUUCGGGUUGUAAAGCCCUUUCACCGGGGACGAUGAUGACGGUACCCGGAGAAGAAGCACCGGCUAACUCCGUGCCAGCAGCCGCGGUAAGACGGAGGGUGCUAGCGUUGUUCGGAAUCACUGGGCGUAAAGGGCGCGUAGGCGGCGUCGCAAGUCGGCUGUGAAAGCCCGGGGCUCAACCCCGGAGGUGCAGCCGAGACUGCGGUGCUCGAGUCCGGAAGAGGAGGGUGGAAUACCCAGUGUAGAGGUGAAAUUCGUAGAUAUUGGGUGGAACACCGGUGGCGAAAGCGGCUCUCUGGUCCGGCACUGACGCUGAGGCGCGAAAGCGUGGGGAGCAAACAGG